UACGUAGGGUGCGAGCGUUGUCCGGAAUUAUUGGGCGUAAAGGGCCUCGUAGGUCGGUUUGUCGCGUCGGGAGUGAAAUCCACUGGCUUAACUGGUGGCUUGCUUUCGAUACGGGGCAGACUGGAGGUAUGCAGGGGGAGAACGGAAUUCCUGGUGUAGCGGUGAAAUGCGCAGAUAUCAGGAGGAACACCGGUGGCGAAGG
rnacentral:rRNA from 1 species